AAACAUCACCUCUAGCAUUAAUAGUAUUAGAGGCACUGCCUGCCCAGUGACAUACGUUUAACGGCCGCGGUAUCCUGACCGUGCAAAGGUAGCAUAAUCACUUGUUCCUUAAAUAGGGACUUGCAUGAAUGGCUAAACGAGGGUUUAUCUGUCUCUUACUUCCAAUCAGUGAAAUUGACCUCCCCGUGAAGAGGCGGGGAUAAAUAAAUAAGACGAGAAGACCCUAUGGAGCUUUAAUCUAACUAGCUCAAGCAAUAACCAACACUACUUUCUACAAGAAAACAAACUCUAUUGCCUAUGAGCUAUGGAUUUUGGUUGGGGUGACCUCGGAGCAUAACUAACCCUCCGAAUGAUUUUAAUCUAGACCUACCCGUCUAAAUUUCUAUUCAUCAAUUGACCCAAACUAUUGAUCAACGGAACAAGUUACCCUAGGGAUAACAGCGCAAUCCUACCCAAGAGUCCAUAUCGACAGUAGGGUUUACGACCUCGAUGUUGGAUCAGGACAUCCAAAUGGUGCAACCGCUAUUAAUGGUUCGUUUGUUCAACGAUUAAAGUCCU
rnacentral:rRNA from 1 species